rnacentral:rRNA from 1 species
CAGCCGCCGCGGUAAUACCCGCAGCUCAAGUGGUGAUCAUUAUUAUUGGGCCUAAAACGUCCGUAGCCGGUUUGGUAAAUGCCUGGGUAAAUCGUGUAGCUUAACUAUACGAAUUCCGGGUAGACUGCCAAACUUGGGACCGGGAGAGGCUAGAGGUACUCCUGGGGUAGAGGUGAAAUUCUGUAAUCCUAGGGGGACCACCAGUGGCGAAGGCGUCUAGCUAGAACGGGUCUGACGGUCAGGGACGAAGCCCUGGGGCGCGAACCGGAUUAGAUACCCGGGUAGUCCAGGGUGUAAACCCUGCUUGCUUGAUGUUAGUUGGGCUCCGAGCCCAAUUAGUGUCGGAGAGAAGUUGUUAAGCAAGCUCCCUGGGAAGUUCGGUCCCCAGACUGAAACUUAAGGAAAUUGGCGGGGGAACCCACCACCGGGUGGAACGUGCGGUUUAAUUGGAUCCACCGCCGAAAACUCCACCGGAGGCGACGGUUACAUAAAGGCCAGGCUGAUGACCUUGCCUGAUUUUCCGAGAGGUGGUGCAUGCCCGCCGUCAGUUCGUACCGUAAGGCGUUCUGUUAAGUCAGAUAACGAACGAGACCCUCAUCUUUAAUUGCUACUAGUAAGUCCGCUUACUGGGCACAUUAGAGAGACCGCUGGCGAUAAGUCAGAGGAAGGCGGGGGCAACGGUAGGUCAGUAUGCCCUGAAUCCUCCGGGCUACACGCGCGCUACAAAGGCUAGGACAAUGAGUUUCAACACCGAGAGGUGAAGGUAAUCUCGAAACCUAGUUAUAGUUCGGAUUGAGGGUUGAAACUCACCCUCAUGAAGCUGGAAUCCGUAGUAAUCGCAGAUCAACAUCCUGCGGUGAAUAUGCCCCUGCUCCUUGCACACACCGCCCGUCAAACCAUGCGAGUUGGGUUUGAGUGAGGAUGUAGUUUUUGCUACAUUCAAACUUAGGCUUAGUAAGCGGGGUUAAGUCGUAACAAGGUAGCCGUA